GGGGCCGUAGCUCAGAUGGGAGAGCGCUGCAAUCGCACUGCAGAGGUCGUCGGUUCGAUCCCGAUCGGCUCCACCA
rnacentral:tRNA from 2 species